CAGCCGCCGCGGUAACACAGAGGGUGCGAGCGUUAAUCGGAUUUACUGGGCGUAAAGCGUGCGUAGGCGGCUUUUUAAGUCGGAUGUGAAAUCCCUGAGCUUAACUUAGGAAUUGCAUUCGAUACUGGGAAGCUAGAGUAUGGGAGAGGAUGGUAGAAUUCCAGGUGUAGCGGUGAAAUGCGUAGAGAUCUGGAGGAAUACCGAUGGCGAAGGCAGCCAUCUGGCCUAAUACUGACGCUGAGGUACGAAAGCAUGGGGAGCAAACAGGAUUAGAGACCCCCGUAGUCCCUGUCUCUUAUAC
rnacentral:rRNA from 1 species